CCUGUUAAACUGUCACUCGCGUCACUGCCCCAGAACUCCUCUCAAAUCCAAAAGCUCCAAACUUUGUUUUCUGGUUGCUGAGUGACCCAAAAACCCGGAGCUUUUAAAUCUUAACCAAAAUUUCCUCUUUAACCUUAUCCACCUUCCUUCAAUUGCACUCAAGGUUCACCAUUUCACAAUCCAAACCCACCGGACUCUGAUCACCAACAACAUUAACGUCUCACCACAAUUUCCAUGCUAUCAAAAAUCAAACACCCCGACUUCCCCAACCACCCGUCUACAGCUCCAUUCGAUUUUCUGCAUCAAAUCGGUCCAACCCAAUAGUUCAUCUGUGAAAAAGAUCAUUGCUUUACAUUGUUGUACAGUCUAAUUGACCAUGGUGUGGACCUUACCACUAGGGCGGUUCCACCACCAAAGGCUGGACUUGAAGCGCUGGUUCCUGACCUUCUUGUCCUCGCACAAAACCCUCUUCACUGUGCUUUGGAUCGCGGCAUUCGCAUCGGUUUUUGUGUGGCAGAGGAAUAUUGUAGAUGGGUUUUCAAUAUUUAAGCGAGUUCCGGUGAGAGCCAUGCCAAAGCUGAGACCUGUGUCUUUCAAUUUGACUGAUUUUGGGGCAGUGGGUGAUGGGGUUACUUUGAACACUGAGGCCUUCGAGAAGGCUGUGUUGGCUAUUUCCAAGCUGGGCCAAAAAGGCGGUGGAUGAGAAGUAUUGGCCUUUGAUGCCUCCAUUGCCUUCGUAUGGGUAUGGGAGAUAGCAUCCUGGGUCUCGGUAUGGGAGUUUGAUUCAUGGUCAAAAUCUUAAAGAUAUUGUUAUAACAGGGCACAAUGGUACCAUAAACGGACAGGGUCAAACGUGGUGGAAGAAGUACCGGCAGAAGCUUCUGAACCACACUAGGGGUCCACUUGUUCAGAUUAUGGGGUCUAGCAACAUUUUGAUCUGUAAUAUAACUUUGCAUGAUUCUCCUUUUUGGACACUUCAUCCAUAUGACUGCAAAAAUGUUACUAUUAGGAAUGUUACGAUUUUGGCUCCUGUAGUUGAAGCUCCAAAUACUGAUGGAAUAGAUCUGAUUCAUGUGAGGAUAUGGUGACUGAGGACUGUUACAUCAGCGUGGGGGAUGAUGGGGUUGCAAUAAAAAGUGGCUGGGAUCAGUA